rnacentral:rRNA from 1 species
AAAUUGAAGAGUUUGAUCAUGGCUCAGAUUGAACGCUGGCGGCAGGCCUAACACAUGCAAGUCGAACGGUAACAGGAAGCAGCUUGCUGCUUCGCUGACGAGUGGCGGACGGGUGAGUAAUGUCUGGGAAACUGCCUGAUGGAGGGGGAUAACUACUGGAAACGGUAGCUAAUACCGCAUAACGUCGCAAGACCAAAGAGGGGGACCUUCGGGCCUCUUGCCAUCGGAUGUGCCCAGAUGGGAUUAGCUUGUWGGUGGGGUAACGGCUCACCWAGGCGACGAUCCCUAGCUGGUCUGAGAGGAUGACCAGCCACACUGGAACUGAGACACGGUCCAGACUCCUA